rnacentral:tRNA from 1 species
AUCUCCUUGAUAGGGAGACUUACAGGGGUUCAAACCCCCUCACUUCCU